UGGUGGUGCCAGGCGGCCGCUUGUGCCAGCCAGCGCCCUGAGGAACAGCCCGGCGGUCAUGAGGGGGCACCGACCCCUCAGAGCCACGGGAAGGGUUUCGGGUGUAGUUAUCCAAGUGUAACCCACGUUCAUUACUGUGACCUUGAAGGGGAGGCAACAAAAAGCUCUCAAAAGCUGUAAAACUCCAGCUGUACCCAUUGGAAAUGGGAAUAGCUCCACAGUGCCCCUCCUCUGCCCUGCCCACAUCACAGGAGCGAGGGAGGAGUCACACGAGGCCACCGAGGCGCUUUGAUGUUAUCAAAGAGCCCGAUGGGUUCCAAACAGCUCCAGGCAUGUGGAACAAAAUCCUGGAGUCAUCCUUGGAGUGGCCUCGUUCCUCCAAGGACACGGUGACACAAAGGUGAGAACCCCCUGCGCUCCACUCUGCCGCAGAAAUUGCACCCCGAAGCAACCUCACCAAAAAUAACCUGCAACCUGCCUGCCUUGUGAGAUGGAACCCAAAAAUCUCUGCUUUUACCUUCUCCCACGGGGAUGAAGAGCUGGUGUUUUCCAGUCUCUUUGCUGUUCCUGAGGUGGCCAAAAUGCUGCUGCUGGUGUUGGGUUGGUUGUUUUGUUUUUUUUUUUUCAAGCUUAGAGUGACUUCACACACUUCCAUUUUGAAAAGGGCCUGUAAAAAUGGCACCAAAGGGCUUCAUUUUCCUGCUUCUCACUGAGGCUGUGCCAGGGCUGGCUGCAGCCACUGGGGAGGAUAUGUGCCUGUGUUUGGAGGAAAUCCUGGGAAUCUUUACAGCUCCAUCUCUUUCACUGUCCCACAGCAAAGGAACAAAGAGAGAGGCAAUCCUGCUGGAACUCGAGGCUGAGGUACAACCUCCCUCUGGAUGGAGCUGGUUUAGGGCCUUACAGCCCCUUCAACUUCCUUGACUAAACUCCCACAUGGUCAGUUAACAAGGAUGGAGAUGUUUCUCCCCCCUACAAGUCCUGCAAAGUUGGAAAUUUGGAAUUUAUUUUGCAGGCUUGGAGGGAGGGUGGUGCUUGGUUUAUUUUAUCAUCACUGGUUGUGAUCUGUGUCCUUGUUACACUGCAGUGUCAUGAGAAAAUUCAUACUAAAACACCUCUAUUUGUUAGUUUACAUGUUUCUCAUGCCUUUAAAAUCAGUAGAAGAGGGCUGAUGACAUUGCACAGGGGAAAACAGAAUUUAAUAAAUUCUUCUUGCAUCGGGAAUUACUUGGCAAAGCUGAUGGUGCACAGGGGACCAACUCCAAGAGGAAAACCAAGCCUUGCUGAAAUCUGAAAGCACAGAUUGCACCCUGGAUGAAUGUGGGCAGGAGCUGGAUGAAUAAAGAGGUAUUAAUUCUUA